rnacentral:tRNA from 4 species
GCGGAUAUGGCGGAAUUGGCAGACGCGCAUGAUUCAGGUUCAUGUGGGGCAACCCAUGCAGGUUCAAGUCCUGUUAUCCGCACCA